UACGAAGGGGGCUAGCGUUACUCGGAUUGACUGGGCGUAAAGGGCGCGUAGGCGGUUCGUACAGUCAGACGUGAAAUUCCUGGGCUCAACCUGGGGGCUGCGUUUGAUACGUGCGGGCUUGAGUUCGGAAGAGGGUCGUGGAAUUCCCAGUGUAGAGGUGAAAUUCGUAGAUAUUGGGAAGAACACCGGUGGCGAAGGCGGCUCUCUGGACCGAUACUGACGCUGAGGCGCGAAAGCGUGGGUAGCAAACGGG
rnacentral:rRNA from 1 species